rnacentral:lncRNA from 1 species
CUUAAAAUCAUCUUUAGAAGCUCUGCUCCAACUCAACACUGGGUGUAUUUCAGGUCUCUGAAUAAAGCUCACCACUUCCAUUCUGGGUUAUUCUCCUAGAUACAUAAUUUACUAGGAUAUUUUACAUUUUAAAAGAAACCUCAGAAUAAGCUUCUUAUUGCCCUUCAAGGAUUGCCAGCGCUACCCGUCAGGAAACCCUGACCUUAAAAUCAUGAAUGUAAAGUAAUAUAUGUGUAUGUAUAUAUAUAUAUAUGUAUGUAUUUUUUAUGUAUAUAUUUUUAUGUAUAUAUUUAUAGAUUUAUUUCCUAUGAGCUUGUCCAGGUGUGUUUUUCCCCCUUGGCACUUCAGGUGGGUUAGCUGCCUUGUGUUCAUGAUUCCUUGUCCAUGUCCCUCCCAGCGAGAGAAAGAAACAACAGAAUGAAAUGGUGUGGUCCUCCUGAACUGGAGCUGAAAGCUGACCUGUGAUGGGCCAUCCAGCCCUUUAAAUAAAGCCAUGGGAAAACACUUCUGGUCUGGAGUCAGGCCUGGAUUAGAAGUUACAGGUUGUUACUCUCUUUUUUAAACCAUGCCUAGGGUUGGGUAGGGGUCAGCAACGAGCAGAGGCAAGGGUAGUAGAUUGUCUGACUUUUUGGUUGCCUUGCAAGUGCAAGGUUAUGAUGCAGUGUUCCUGUUCCUGCUGAAAUGUUGUUGGCAGUCUCAGAGAACAAGGAGCCCAGGGGGACAGCCAGGUGGGCAGGCAGAGUCACUUCUGGGAACGGCUUUCACCUGGUCUCAUUUUGGCCAGGUGCUGCCUGUUUUCUCCGGCGUGCCCUUUUUUGCUGCAGCAGGAGAUCUGUUUCAGAAGAGAUGGAGCUAUCUGCAAAGAUUUUCGUUUAUGCGAUGUGUUCGUUGUGGUGCAGUGCUGUGGGAGGUUUUGUGCAUGCCUGCAGGUAAGCAAGCUGUGGUUUAAGUCUUUUCUCCGAGUGCUCCGUGUUCAGGGGAACAGUUUUCAUCUCACUUUCUCUACCAGUUUCACACAGCUGUCAUUUCUUUAACUUCAGUGGGUUUCCUUGUGACUUACCCUGGUAUCAAAUCAGAUUUAGUCUCAUAGGUCUUGCAAAACUGAGACAAAAGUAAUGAAAAAAAAAUAGCAGUACUGAAGUUUUCUCAUUUCUAGCUUAGAAAAUGCAUCUUUAAACCUUUUACUUUGCAUUUUUGGUAGCACUCUGGCUCUUCUGGUUCUGCAGAGAAAAACAAAGUGAAGAAUUACACAGAAGUGAAAAAUAAUGAGGCAAAAAAAUAUAGUUCUCGUAUUCCUUUUGGGAGCUUUAGAGGGAUGCCACUUCAGUGGUCCAUGACAUGUGUCUGUCUGUGCACUGGCCUUGGCUGCACUACUUCCAAAGGCUUCCAAACCUGAAGUGGUUUGGGACCUAUCAGAGGUUAUAGACAUUUAAAACAUUAUUAUUAUUAAGUUGGUGACAAGUUGCUUUCACAAUAAUAUCUUACGCGCUGAAAGCAUUUUCAGGCUUACCUGUGGCUUUCGAGAUGGAAGGCUUUACAAUGGCACUGAAUGGCAAAUUGAGUCCGAGUUCACGUGCUAUGAUAGCAUCAGAUUUUCGCUUUUAUGAAUAAUUCUGACAACAGAAGUAACAUCUUGAACCGUAACUGAAAUAUGCAUGUACUUUUAGGCACACAUUAGCUGUCUACAAAAGGCUUUUCUGUCUUACCCUAGUUGUGCUGUCAGAUAUUAAAUGCCUUUAGGGUGUUUUAGAUUGUGCUAGAAGCAUGGUUAGUGCCCAAGUAAUUCAGGGACCAUUCAUUGCAACUCUGCUGGGGUUACAAAUAAAGAGAGAGAGCUUUUUUUCA